rnacentral:tRNA from 1 species
GCCCCCAUCGUCUAGCGGCCCAGGACACCGCCCUCUCACGGCGGUAACACCGGUUCAAAUCCGGUUGGGGGUACCA